rnacentral:rRNA from 1 species
UUGACCUCGGAUCAGGUAGGGAUACCCGCUGAAAUU